AGAAUGACCUUGCCAAACGAAAGUAGACAAGCAUGUCUCGAAGCUGUCUGUUCCACAAACUAUGGACUACACAAACAAUCUUUUCAGAUGCGAAGUUGGCUGUACAAUCCGGCGUUUUUAGAAUAACACAUUUCCAUACACUUUCAAGACAAGCAGCAAUUUGUCAUAAUGGCGGACAGAAACGUGUACAAUCAGCUAGAAAGUCUGUUUUGUAAUUGUAUUGCAGGUACAGUUAGUGUGGACAAGAACCCUAAUUCCGAAGCCUUAUGACGAAAUUGAUGAAGAGGACCCUUUUGAGCAAACAUAUAACGAUUGCAUUGACAAGGAAUUCGAACUGGUCUAUGCAUUUGGAGGCUCUGAUAUAUGGUAUCAUUUGACUUUAGGACUCUGUAUUACAGCCCCUACAGCUUUUGCCCUUGUGAUGAUCAGCUUUUAUUAUAUGACAUAUAAAGAAUUGGAAUAUACAACCCAGAGCCUCUCAGAAAUGUUAGAAAAUGUCAAGGAAAUAUACAUGAAUUUGCCACCAUCUUCCCAAUGGAUAUUUGCUCAAUGUUUCAUCAUUGUGUGUGCUACUUGUAUGCACUAUUUUAUCAAUAAGAACAAUAUUUGUAGGAUAUAUUACAGUUCCAGAAAGGACCAAUAUAUUGGAAUUGUUUAUCAAUAUGGACAAAAGAAAAAGCUUAAAUUUACCCAAAGGGAUAUCUCAAGGAAACCAGUUUUUUUGGAAAGAUUUUUUCAGAAAAAAGGAAUAACGCUUGGAACAGAAGAAACAUUUUAUAUUUAUGAAAGAAAUUUUCGAGAUAUGACCUCGCAAAAUCAGUUUUUUUCUGAAGUAGCAGCUUCAGAGUACCUUGAUAAGUUGAAGGGGAAAAACAGGUAUAGGUUUAAAUCCAAAAAAUAGGUAACUACAUUUUGAUAAGAUUUAGAAAAAAUAAACAUGACUGUACUACA
rnacentral:misc_RNA from 1 species